ensembl:lncRNA
UUUUUUCUUUCUUUCUUUUUUGAGAUGGAGUCUCUCUCUGUCACCCAGGCUGGAGUCCAAUGGCAUGAUCUUGGCUCACUGCAACCUUCCCCUCCCAGGUUCAAGCAAUUCUUCUGUCUUAACCUCCUUAGUAGCUGGGAUUACAGGCGCACGCCAACCACGCCCGGCUAAUUUUUGUAUUUUUGGUAGAGACGGGGUUUUGCCAUGUUCACCAGGCUGGUCUUGAACUCUUGACCUCAUGAUCCACCCACCUCAACCUCCCAAAGUUCUGGGAUUACAGGCAUGAACCACCGCGCCGGGCCGCAACUCCAUCUUGAAUAGGAGCUGGGUAAAAUGAGGUUGAAACCUACUGGGCUGUAUUCCCAGAUGGUUAAGGCAUUCUAAGUCACAGGAUGAGAUACAAGGUCAACAUAAAAUACAGGUCAUAAAGUCCUUGCCGUUAAAACAGGUUGCAGUAAAGGAGCUGGCCAAAACCCACCAAACCAAAAAGGCCACACAAGAGUGACUUCUGGUCCUCCUCAGUGCUACGCUCCCACCAGCACCAUGACAGUUUGCGAAUGCCACGGCAAUAUCAGGAAGUUACCCUAUAUGGUCUAAAAAGGGGAGGCAUAAAUAAUCCACCCCUUGUUUAGCAUAUCAUCAAGAAAUAACCAUAAAAAUGGGCAACCAGCAGCCCUCCAGGCAGCUCUGUCUAUGGAGUAGGGAAUUUUUAUUCCUUUCUUAAUAAACUUGCUUUUACUUUGCACUGUGGACUUGGCCUGAAUUCAAGAACCCUGUCUUGGGGUCUGGAUCGGGACCCCUUUCCUGUAACAAUUAUACAGAAAGAGCAGAUUCCUGACACUGUGAUGCUGUAUCAUCCCUGGACUGGCCGUCUCCGCAUUUCUUGAAGAUGAGAGGAGAAAAAAAACCCAUAGCAUGUAAAGUCGCUGUUAUAUUAGUUUUUGUUUCCAUUUGAGACGGAGUCUUGCUCUGUCAUCUAGUCUGGAGUGCAGUGACACGAUCUCAGCUCACUGCAACCUCUGCCUCCCUGGUUCAAGUGAUUCUCCUGUCUCAGCCAACUUCAGUAGCUGGGAUUACAGGCAUAUGCCACCACACCUGGCUGGUUUUUAUAUUCUUAGUAGAGAUGAGGUUUUACUAUGUUGGUCAGGCUGGUCUCGAACUCCUGACCUUGUGAUCUGCCUGCCUCAGCCUCCCAAAGUGCUGGGAUUACAAGGUGUGAGCCAUCGCGCCCAGGUGUUUUUUUUUGUUUUUGUUUUUGUUUUACAACCAAACCUAAUCCAAUGAAUGCAUCUCCUCUCCUGGUCCCUGUGUUCUUGUGGGUUUAUAUAUUUUUCUUUAACCUAGGUGGGAUUUUGGAAGGGAGCAAAUAUAGUGAUCAGUCCUCUGUAUUUUUUAUGUGAUAAGAUAUGCAUAACACAAAAUUGACCUUUAUAACCAUUUUCAAUUGUUAAAUGGUUAUACGGUUCACCGACAUUAAGUACAUUCAUAUUGUUGUGCAGCCAUCACAACUAUCCAUCUCCAGAACUUUUUUCAUCUUCCUAAACUGAAACUCCAUACUCGUUAAAUGACUCCCAAUUUUCCCC